UGAAUAUCUGUAUUGAACCUCCUUCCUUUCAGAAACUUGAGUCCCAUUGUCAUCAGUAUUGCUCUAUAUUAUCUUUAUUUAAGUACAAUAAUCAUGUGUAUAUCAAGAAUAGGAAGGAAAAAGGGUAUAUUUUUCCUAGGUUCCAUUUUUAGAGACACUAACCCUGACUUUGGUUUUACUUUUCAAUGUUACAUUUGUAUUGAGAACUUAAUAUAAAGAAAUAAGGCAAGUAUCUAUGAUGUACAUUCUGCUAAUACCAUCAAUGUUGGAUCAGUAAGUUGCUGUUACUCUCAACAAAUACAUGUUCAAAAAUGGUUGGUCAAGAAUAAGUGGAAAAUUUAGUCAGGUAAUAGGUCUGAAAUACUGGUGAUGUUUUGAAAUAGCUAUUUGAAAUUCACCAUUCUGGUUUCCUAAAGCAGUCAUAUAUAAAAGAUAUAUGUUUAGGGCUGGCCUGGU